rnacentral:lncRNA from 1 species
GUUAGGAAUUGUGUCCUAAAUCCAAUCAAUUGUUGAUUGUAAAUGUAUUUGAAUCAAUUAUAAAUAACAUGGUAUUUAUUCAUCACCAGAACAUCUUCACAAACUCCGAUGUGAUGAAGUCCUUAGGACUGCUUUGUGUAACAAAAUAUGAUUUUGUCACACAGGUCCUUAAAUGUUCAUGACCGUAUGAUAUACUAUUAAUAGGAUGAUAGUAUUAUCGGGCGUAGGUCAUUGUGUAUCAUAUUUGUUGGUUGUCUUCCAAACCAAAGAGUAUAGAGAUACUAGUAUGAUAUACAGGUGAAUGGUAGUGUACGUUCACUGAACGUGACCAAUUGACGGACUCUCUCUUGUCAAGAGUUGUUCCGAGUGGAUAUGGGUAUAUGUAUCCUUUAGACCUGAGAUUGCAACCGAUGGCUUGCAAGCAACUCACUGUACUUUGGUGCCGGACUACCUGGAUUUCUAAUCCAGCGACGGAAGGUUUCUGGGUCCAGUCAAGUACUUGUGGUAGUCAGUU